GAUGAAGAACGCAGCAAAAUGCGAUAAGUAAUGUGAAUUGCAGAAUUCAGUGAAUCAUCGAAUCUUUGAACGCACAUUGCGCCCGCUGGUAUUCCGGCGGGCAUGCCUGUUCGAGCGUCAUUUCAACCCUCAAGCCCCCGGGUUUGGUGUUGGGGAUCAGCUCUGCCCUUCUGGGCGGUGCCGCCCCCGAAAUACAUUGGCGGUCUCGCUGCAGCCUCCAUUGCGUAGUAGCUAACACCUCGCAACUGGAACGCGGCGCGGCCAUGCCGUAAAACCCCAACUUCUGAAUGUUGACCUCGGAUCAGGUAGGAAUACCCGCUGAACUUAAGCAUAUCAAUAAGCGGAGGA
rnacentral:misc_RNA from 1 species